UACAGAGGGUGCGAGCGUUGUUCGGAAUUAUUGGGCGUAAAGGGCGCGUAGGCGGUGCGGUAAGUCACCUGUGAAAUCUCCUGGCUCAACUGGGAGCUUGCAGGCGAAACUGCCGUGCUGGAGUGUGGGAGAGGUGCGUGGAAUUGCAGGUGUAGCGGUGAAAUGCGUAGAUAUCAAGCGGAACACCUGAGGUGAAGACGGGUUGCUGGGCCGACACUGACGCUGAGUGCGCGAAAGCCAGGGGAGCAAACGGG
rnacentral:rRNA from 1 species